UACGUAGGGAGCAAGCGUUGUCCGGAAUCAUUGGGCGUAAAGCGCGCGUAGGCGGCCCUGUAAGUCCGUUGUGAAAGUCAAAGGCUCAACCUUUGAAUGCCGAUGGAUACUGCAGGGCUAGAGUCCGGAAGAGGCAAGUGGAAUUCCUGGUGUAGCGGUGGAAUGCGCAGAUAUCAGGAGGAACACCAGCGGCGAAGGCGGCUCUGGGACGAUGACUGCUAGGCGGAAGCGAGG
rnacentral:rRNA from 1 species